CUUCAAAGAGUGACACAGACACCGGCAUCCCAAGUCAUGAAAAACAUUUGGACCAAUCCUUUGACUUAGAAUUGUCAGGUUUUAAACUUUCAAAGCAACCAAAUGAGACCAUUUGUCAGGUGGAAAAUCAAUAUCUUGCAUGUCAAAGUGAGCUUAACGGGCCAGUUUCAUACAAGCAAAAUGAAACCCGAGUAGCCGAUGAAGUUCUAGAGUUCCAACAGUAUGACUUAGACAUUUCAAAUAAGCAAAUAUCGAACACAGGUGUACAAACUAUGACAAAUUCAGUGGAUGAACCUAAAACGUCUAUCCGCUCCAAGGACAAUGAACCAUCAACUCUAAAGAAAGAUGAAGACACAACUCCAUUGGUUCAUGAGUCUUUAAGAGAAAAGAGUUUUCAAGGAACUUUCAAAGAAAUAAUAGUGGAUAACUCUUCCAAUAGUACGGUAGAUACAGACUGUUCAGAAUACACAGAUUCCAUCAGUGAUCUAUUGGAAGGGAAGAAAGUAGAAUUAAAAGAAUCUGAUAAUGUAGGUAGCAGUACAAGGGAAGAUCAAGGAACUUUCAAAGGAAGUAUGGUGGGUUGUAGUUCUUCCACAAGUCUGGUAAAUGCGGACCAUUCAGAAUACACAGACUCUCUCAGUAGUGCAAAGGAAGAUCAAAAAGAACGACGUACAAUAUUGGCAGAAAAUACCAAACUUUCUGCAUUAUUGAACAUGGGUAGCUUGGUUAUGGGCCCGGAAAAUAAAAUUAAGACCAUUGUUGAAUCCUUUUCUGUCUCUCAGUCAGCCUGCAAGAGUCUUUCAUGUGUACCAGAAGAUAUGACUCUUGUUCCAGAGAUCACAAAUGAAACAUGCUUACUGUUGGAUUCUUCAGUAAAUCAUAGAAUCAUAGAAAGAAAUAAAGCUUGUCCUCAGCCAGAACUUGUGACUUUUACAGUUGCUGAUGGUCCAGAGAGCGUGAAUCCAGUGCAGUCUGAAGAGUUCUGUGUGAACCAAGAGCUUUCCAGUUUGAAAGGUGUAACUUCAGAAACACCUGUGGCUCAAAAUUCAGAAAUCUGCCUGCCUCAAAAAGAUGAGCUGCCUGCAUCAUCUGAGAAUGCACAGAUAGUUGACCAGGAUUCAUCUUCAGCAAAUGCCCUCUGUAAUGACUAUUCUGCUAUAGAACCUCUUGAGCUGAUAGAGUCAUUUGAGAGAAGAGCUGAUGGCAACGACAGCCCAUCUGAAGAGAGAGAAAAAGAAAUUAGCUCCCUAAACGAUGCAGUUAAACUAGAAGUGUGUACGGCUUCUCAUGCUCACAGCAAGGAGAGGUCUGUAAGUGCAGGGGAUAGAGAGACAAUUGUAAAAGAGAUGGAUGUAAUUUCAUCUGACAGUAUUGAUAGUGUACAGAAGUUUAAAAGACCAUCUGUAGAAGACCAGAGGCAAAGUGCAGUAACUGCAGAAAAAAUAAACAUGCCAAUGCAUUCCAUUGUUGACCAUACAAAUUAUUUAGGAGUUUUGCUAGAAGACUUGAAAUUUUCUGGUGACAAAGUUAGAAGCUUUGUGCCUCUGAAGGCUGAGACUUAUGAAAAGCCUUCACAAGCCUACUCUACUGAACAGAUCCCAGAAUGGCGUUUGAAUAACCUUUCAGAUAAAGGAAAAACUUAUGUUAAAGAUCA
ensembl:lncRNA